CUACGGGUGGCUGCAGUGAGGAAUAUUGCACAAUGGGGGGAACCCUGAUGCAGCAACGCCGCGUGGAGGAUGACGCAUUUCGGUGUGUAAACUCCUUUUAUAUGUCAAGAAGAUGACGGUAGCAUAUGAAUAAGCACCGGCUAACUCCGUGCCAGCAGCCGCGGUAAUACGGGGGGUGCAAGCGUUACUCGGAAUCACUGGGCGUAAAGGACGCGUAGGCGGGUUGGAAAGUCAGGUGUGAAAUCCUACAGCUUAACUGUAGAACUGCACUUGAAACUUCUAAUCUAGAGUAUGGGAGGGGGAGAUGGAAUUAGUGGUGUAGGGGUAAAAUCCGUAGAUAUCACUAGGAAUACCUAAAGCGAAGGCGAUCUCCUGGAACAUUACUGACGCUAAGGCGUGAAAGCGUGGGGAGCAAACAGGAUUAGAUACCCUCGUAGUC
rnacentral:rRNA from 1 species